rnacentral:lncRNA from 13 species
GUCCGGUGGAGCAGAGAGAGGUGGGGAGUGGACGAUCAGGGGCGGCCAGGUCUUGAUUUGGAAAAGAUACCUGUAGAAAGGACACUCGCUGAAAAGGUGACCUGUGUGCUACAUAAUGAAACAUAGAUUUUACUCACCAUGAACACCGGGAGAAGCACUGAAGCCUUUCUAACCAGGAGUUAUGAGAAGAGACAGGCAUUAGAAUCAUUCUGAUACCUGCUGAAACAGUGUGUUCUGUGCCUUGGAAGGCUGGAACUGGAAGGCUGACUAAAUCAGGGGCGACUCUCUUUGCUGUAGGGCUUCUCGUUGAGUCCAGCCAAUGCCGGGCAAAGGAGGCAAUCCAAAGUGGGGAGAACAGCGAGUCUUUGUUCAAGAUGCCGAGAACCUGGACCCCCUCCAUUGGUGAUACGAGGACCCUGAUUACUAAACACCUUUCUUUGAAGGUGAAGCUGAUUCUUAUGAUUUAGGUAUUGCUAUGUGUCAUUACCCACUGCAAUGGCAUAACACACCGAGAUUAGCUUGCAAGACAAUCCUUCACAAUGAUGGCUGGCAGGCACCACACUGAGAGAUCCUGGGAC